GACGAACGCUGGCGGCGUGCUUAACACAUGCAAGUCGAACGGAAAGGCCCCUUUGUUGUUCUCCGGUCGAGAGCGGGUGAGGUACGCGUGACUUACGUAACCUGCACUUGUGGAUGAGUUAAGUUAACGGGAGCCAGUACCGUAUAGGAUACCAUCUCGUGCGGCGGGGGGUGGAAUGGUUCGUUGCGGCGGUUCUGGAUGGACUCGCGGCUUAUUAGCUUGUUGGUGGGGUAGUGGCUUACCAUGGCUUUGACGGGUAGCCGGCCUGAGAGGGUGACCGGCCACAUUGGGACUGAGAUACGGCCCAGACUCCUACGGGAGGCAGCAGUGGGGAAUAUUGCACAAUGGGCGGAAGCCUGAUGCAGCAACGCCGCGUGCGGGAUGACGGCCUUCGGGUUGUAAACCGCUUUCAGCAGGGGCGAAGCUUGUGUGACGGGAACGUGUAGAAGAACCACGGCCAACUACGGG
rnacentral:rRNA from 1 species